UGGGGAAUAUUGCACAAUGGGGGAAACCCUGAUGCAGCGACGCCGCGUGAGUGAUGAAGUAUUUCGGUAUGUAAAGCUCUAUCAGCAGGGAAGAAGAUGACGGUACCUGACUAAGAAGCCCCGGCUAACUACGUGCCAGCAGCCGCGGUAAUACGUAGGGGGCAAGCGUUAUCCGGAUUUACUGGGUGUAAAGGGAGCGUAGACGGCGGCGCAAGCCAGAUGUGAAAGCCCGGGGCUCAACUCCGGGACUGCAUUUGGAACUGUGUGGCUGGAGUGCUGGAGAGGUAAGUGGAAUUCCUAGUGUAGCGGUGAAAUGCGUAGAUAUUAGGAGGAACACCAGUGGCGAAGGCGGCUUACUGGACGGAAACUGACGUUGAGGCUCGAAAGCGUGGGGAGCAAACAGG
rnacentral:rRNA from 1 species